CCUACGGGUGGCUGCAGUAGGGAAUAUUGCACCAUGGGCGAAAGCCUGAUGCAGCAACGCCGCGUGAGUGAAGAAGGCCUUCGGGUCGUAAAACUCUUUUCAAGGGAAAGAGGAAGGACGGUACCCUUUGAAUAAGCAUCGGCUAACUACGUGCCAGCAGCCGCGGUAACACGUAGGAUGCGAGCGUUAUUCGGAUUUACUGGGCGUAAAGCGCGUGUAGGCGGUUAGGAGAGUUGGAUGUGAAAGCUCCCGGCUUAACUGGGAGAGGUCGUUCAAAACUUCCUGACUAGAGGUUGGUAGAGGAAAAUGGAAUUCCGGGUGUAGUGGUGAAAUGCGUAGAUAUCCGGAGGAACACCAGUGGCGAAAGCGAUUUUCUGGACCGAUACUGACGCUCAGACGCGAAAGCUAGGGUAGCAAACGGGAUUAGAUACCCCAGUAGUC
rnacentral:rRNA from 1 species